rnacentral:piRNA from 1 species
UAGUAUCCAGUGUCCUGACACUCCAU